rnacentral:rRNA from 4 species
GCGGCGGACGGGUGAGUAACACGUGGGUAACCUGCCCGUAAGACCGGGAUAACUCCGGGAAACCGGGGCUAAUACCGGAUAACACCGGGGGCCGCAUGGCUUCCGGUUGAAAGGCGGCCUUUGGCUGCCACUUACGGAUGGGCCCGCGGCGCAUUAGCUAGUUGGCGGGGUAACGGCCCACCAAGGCGACGAUGCGUAGCCGGCCUGAGAGGGUGGACGGCCACACUGGGACUGAGACACGGCCCAGACUCCUACGGGAGGCAGCAGUAGGGAAUCUUCCGCAAUGGGCGAAAGCCUGACGGAGCGACGCCGCGUGAGCGAGGAAGGCCUUCGGGUCGUAAAGCUCUGUUGUCAGGGAAGAAGGCGCGCCGUUCGAAUAGGGCGGCGCGGUGACGGUACCUGACGAGGAAGCCCCGGCUAACUACGUGCCAGCAGCCGCGGUAAAAC